UGUCCACAUACACACACACAUCUAUCGCACCGGACGAAAUUGCUUUUUAAUUAUGUCACGGUACACUAGACCCUGUCUGCAGUGCCUGGUGAUAACAUCAUCAUAAUUCUUCCCUUCCAGCUGUUAUUGGGCCCGACCCUGAUUAUGCACCCUACCGAAAACCAGACACAACACCAGCACCACUCCCAAACCUACAAG